UUAAAUAGUUUAAUAAGAAAAUACAGGAUUGUGGUUCCUGAGAUGUAAAUAUUACUUUAAAUAGG
rnacentral:tRNA from 1 species